CGGUGUAAAGGUGUAUUAUGUUUGUUUAUGCUGCAUUUGUUUAACGAUGUAAGGAUAUGUAUUUAGUUAUGUAAAGAUAUGUUGCAUCUGUUUCACCUUGCCUGCCUAAGGCACUUGAUUGAUCUAAUAAAGAGCUGAAUGUUCAAAAGCUAGACAGGAGAGGGAUAGGUAUGGCUAUCAGGCAGAGAGAAUAAAUAGGAAGAGAAAUCUAGGUUCAAAAAGAGAAGAGAAGAGAGGAACAACAGAAGGAGGAGAGAAUGAGAGACAUGCCCAGGGCAAGAAGCCUGGCAGCCUCCAGCCAGUCAGACACAGAAGCAGUGAAAGUAAGAUAUACAGAAAGAAAAGGUAAAAUGCCCCAAGGCAAAAGGUAAAUAAAGAGAAACAAGUUAAUUUAAGUGUAAAGAGCUAGCCAGAAACAUGCCUAAGCUAGGCCAAGCAUUCAAAACUAACAAUGAGUCUCCAUGUCAUGAUUUGGGAGCUGGUUGUUAGCCCCAAAAGAAAAAGCCUGGUGCAGCUGAGAUAGAGUCUCUUCUUUUUUCCCAAGGAUUCUUAGUUAGGGUUUCUAUGCUGGGAAGAAAACACUGUGACAAUGGCAACUCUUAUAAAGGAAAACACUUAACUGGGAUGGCUUACAGUUCAGAGGUUUAGUCCAUUGUCAUUGUGGUGGGACAUUGAGGAAGACAUGGUACUGGAAAAGGAGCUGAGAGUUUUACAUCUUGAUCUGUAGUCAACAGGAAGUAAACUGUCUACCACACUGGGUGUAGCUUGAGCAUAUUUGAGACCUCAAAGCCCACCCCACAGUGACACACUCCCUCCAACAAGGUAAUACCUCCUAUAGGUGCCACUCCCUAUGGGCCAAACAUUCAAACACAUGAGUCCAUGGGAGCCAUAACUAUUCAAACCACCACAGGUUCCAAAAGCAAGAGUAAGUUCUGCCUUCAGCAUUUACGGGGGUGUGUGUGUGUGUACAUAUGUAAAUGUAGUGUGGAAGCCAGAGGUCAAUGUCAGGUGUCUCCUCUAUUGAUCCUACCUUUUUUUUUUCUUUUUUCUUCCAGAAAGGCCUCCUUCUUUCUGAACCUGGAGCUAGACUGGCCUGCAAGCCCCAUGGGACCUCCUGUCUCUACCUCCUCAGCACUGGGAUGACAGGAAGAUCUAUGCAGUAUGAUCAUAGGACUUGAAACAUGGACAUGUUUCCAUGUAGCAAAAGGGUGAGAGCCACUGAACAGUGUAAUGGAAAACUGAAGACAACUAGGAAAAGCUCAACUCCACAGAAUGUACACAGCUUGUGCCUGAAAACCUGGAACUUGAGGAGUCCCCAGGAGAGCCAGUCAGAUCCUUGAAGUUCACUGGUGGACCAGCCUCACCAAAUCAACGAGCUUCAGAUUCAGUGAGAGAUCCUGUCUCCAAAACCAAAGGCAGAAACAAUAGAUGGAAGAUAUUCAGCAUCAGCCUCUGGCCUCCACUCACACAAACACAUACACAAUUGUAAACUAAUGGUAGGUUAGAUAACCAAUCGCAUCACAAA